rnacentral:rRNA from 1 species
ACGAGGAGGAUCCACCCGUACCCAUUCCGAACACGGAAGUUAAGCUCCUUAGUGCCGAAGAUACUUGGUUGGUGACGACCUGGGAAAAUAGGUCUGUGCC